rnacentral:lncRNA from 1 species
UUCUGUUGGAGCUAAGUGCAACAAAUAGCAAGGUUCAACAAAAAGCUUGCCGAGCAAGAAUCGAGACUUGCGGCAGAAACAAAGAAGAAAAAUGAAAUAAAUUUUAAGCAAAGCUAAAAUAGAGAGUAUAUGGAUGAAAUCUUGAUUGAAUUCAUUCAUAUUUUUUUAAAAUGGCAUAAAGCCUAUUUAUACAAGCUUACAACUUGACAACUUAGUUGGAAUACAACUAAGUUUCAUCAUUACAUCCACUUAAAAUAAAUCACCACCUACUAC